UACGUAGGGGGCAAGCGUUGUCCGGAAUCAUUGGGCGUAAAGAGCGUGUAGGCGGCCCAAUAAGUCCGCCGUGAAAGUCCAGGGCUCAACCCUGGAAUGCCGGUGGAAACUGUCGGGCUGGAGUCCGGAAGAGGCGAGUGGAAUUCCUGGUGUAGCGGUGAAAUGCGCAGAUAUCAGGAGGAACACCUAUGGCGAAGGCAGCUCGCUGGGACGUUACUGACGCUGAGACGCGAAAGCGUGGGGAGCAAACAGG
rnacentral:rRNA from 1 species